GGCGCUAUAGCCAAGUGGUUACGGCGACAGAUUAGAAUGAUCUGGACACAGUUUCGCACUAUCUGUUCCUCUUUGAGGGCGCAGGUUCAAAUCCUGCUGGCGUCG